rnacentral:lncRNA from 1 species
GAAAUGUUAAGUUGAUACUUCACUUCUGUUCAUGUUCAUUUGGUGGUAACAGGCAUGUGGCUACAUGCAGCUUCAAGUGGUGGUCAGGAAAUACAGAUUUAGCAGAGCAGGUAUUGUUUAGUGUUGGGGUUUGGCAUUCCCCUAUACCAGUUGUCCUAUUCAUUCUCAGGUUGGACACUUGAGUGAUGCUGGAGUGACCCACAGAGAAUUCAGAGUACCUAAAAUUUGUCAUUCUUCUUCCCAGGUCCCCAAAGACACAUGUGACUCACACCCUAACCCUGAAGGAGCUGUCACCCUGAAGUGCUGGGCCCUGGGUUUCUGCCCUAAGGAUAUCACUCUGAUCUGGCAGCAGGAUGGGGAGGAUCAGACCCAGGACAUGGGGCCUGUAGAGACCAGGCCUGCAGGAGAUGGAAGCUUCCAGAAGUGGGCAGCUGUGGUGGUGCCUUCAGGAUGGGGGCAGAAAUUCACAUAUCUUGUGCAGCAUGAGGGGUUGCCCGAACCCCUCCCUGAGAUGGGGUCAGGAGGGGAUGAGGGCACAGAGCUUAUUUUCAUGAAAAGCAGGAGCCAUUCUGGAGCCUCUUUGUAGGUCAGGGCUGAAAGCUGGGGGUCAGAGCUCCUCACCUUCCCCUCUGUUGGCUUCACAGAGCCACCUCCUCAGCCCUCCGUCUCCAUCAAGGGAAUCAUUGUUGUCCUGGUUCUGGUUCUUUUUGUAGCUGUGGACAUUGGAGUUGUGGUGGUUGUUGUGAUGAAGUGGAGGAAGAAGCAGGUAGAGGAGGAGCUGAGUCUGAAUUUUCUUAUUUCAGGCCCCAGGUAGAAGUGUGUCCUGCCUCAUUAAUAGGAAGUACCACCCACACAUACAUGUUUAUACAGCCUGGGGCUGUUUGCUGAAAUCCUAUCAUAAAGCACAUGAAAAAUAAAAGACAGAUUUUGCACCCUGAUGAUCUUUGUGAUGGGGGCCUGAUUCCUAGCAGUCAGAGGCCAGAAGGGAAGGUCUCUGCUGAGGGCAAACCUCUGGGAGAGCAGUUGGUUCAGUGCCUGUAAUCUCCUUUCCCCAUGCCUCCUAGUCAUUUCCUGGGUCUGAAGUCAUGUUCUGGAACAUCCUUUGAGUGUUAGUACUAGGGGCUUCCUAAAGGGCCUUCAUGGCCCUCCUCCUUGCUGGCCUCUCACAAAUUGUUUUCUUCUCACAGGUAGAAAAAAGGGAGGAGCUAUGCUGAGGCUCCAAGUAAGUAUGGCAAAAAGGAUGACCCUUAGGAUUGCAUAGGCAGAAGUCCAUGUGGAAUAUCACCCAUCCCAUAAUUCUUCCUUCAGCCAGUUCUCUUUUGCCCUCUGAAUAUAUCUAGUUGUUUUUCUGUUCCAGGGAGGGACGGUUUCC